AUACCUACGGGGCGCAGCAGUGGGGAAUUUUGCGCAAUGGGGGAAACCCUGACGCAGCAACGCCGCGUGCGGGACGAAGGCCCUCAGGUCGUGAACCGCUUUCAGCAGGGAAGACCACGACGGUACCUGCAGAAGAAGCUCCGGCUAACUACGUGCCAGCAGCCGCGGAAAUACGUAGGGGGCGAGCGUUAUCCGGAUUCAUUGGGCGUAAAGCGCGCGUAGGCGGCCGC
rnacentral:rRNA from 1 species